UUGAAAGGGAAACGAUUGAAGUCAGUCGUGCUGGCGCGAAAUCAACCUUCUCGUCUCGAGAUCACAUGGCGUGGCGAGCCUCAAAACCGUCACGAAGCGUGAACUCUUGGUGAAAUGGAGCACUUUCGUGUCCGCUGGUUAACAUCAAUUUCGAACGUCAUAAAAAGGCUGGAGGGAUGUGGCUCCUUCGGGAGUGUUAUAACCUUUAGCGGAAUGUGGUGGUCGGGAUUGAGGAUUGCAACGAAUACCUUUGGGGCUGUUCCACCUGGCUUCUCAUUGGUAUCCUGGUGACGACAGCUUGCUGACGUUGUUAGGAUUCGCCUUUGAACAGGCUAGAGUGUGAGCAAAUCGUUAAGGAUGUUGACGUA
rnacentral:rRNA from 1 species